rnacentral:lncRNA from 1 species
GGGUGGGAUUUGCUGGGGGGUCCUAGUCUUCUGCAUGUUUUAUAAUCUGCAUUUAAAAUUUGUGCCGUUUCAGCUUUUGCGAUAUUAGCAUUUAUUUUUUCGGAAUUGACGUCACUCCGGCCCCCCCACGACCACGCCGCAGACGCUCGAAUUUGCCGCUUAAACCGCGACUGAAUCUCUGUUACUUUUUCACAUAUCAACUGAGGGAUUUGUUUAAUUCAUUAAAAAAAAAAAAAACAGAAAAGCAACGUUCAAUGUGAUUAAUUGCUUUGUUGAGCUCAACCUUUGUUCUAACGCGCAACUGCGAAACCUUCACUUCAUUUCAACACGUUGAUACGCGAUUUGUUCACGUCACGCGUGGUAUUUCCAUGGUGCGCUGCUCUGUCUGGAUGGAUGGAUGGAUGGAUGGAUCAUGGAUCAUGGAUCAUGGAUAGUGUAACGAUCCGGCUAAGCUAAUGAGUUAGCCCAGAUCCUCACGUGGAUUCCAGAAAGGCGUAUAAUUAUAUAAAUCCAGAUGGACACGGACAAAAGGAAGCUCUUCUUUUUAAUAUCUUGUGGGCAACUAUGGAUGACAUAUUUCACACAGCUGUCCUUACAAUAAAAUAACCAACAUUAAAGUAAUCUCCAAAACGUGCGAGGCACAAAAGGUGUACACGGCCAAGUAUAUCAGCCUGCGCGCCCGGGAGCGAGCAUCGAGGGGGCGGAGCAACCCCUUAGUCUCCACCAUGAUACGCCAUCAUUACAAUAGGUGUAGUGGAAGCGUCUGAGUUCUGUGUGUUUUUCUGGAAGCAAUAACUUGACGGCCAACGUGGUCCAGGAGCGCGCCGCUCUUGAUGAAGAGAAAUUCCUUCGGCUCAGUUGUGGAACAUACCAAGAAAAUUAUGAUGUGAUCUGGAAAAAAGAAGGGCAAGAAGUUGCUAGCGUAAAGAAGGGAAUCAAAUCACUGCAGGAAAAUUUUGGCUUAACAGAGCGUGGAACCCUUGUGGUGUCCGAAGUGCGCAGGUCCGACGCAGGAGAAUACACCGCGAUGCUGCUUGACAGCUCGCAAAACAAAUUGUGUGAAAUGACUGUGCAGCUGAGUGUGUCAGAUUCCAGUGACCCCCCACCUGAGCCAACAAAGAAACCUGAGAAAAGCCCACCUAAAGGUCAGUAAAUUCAGUGAACUGUACAGUGGGAAGAUAACAGUGGGGGAAAGG